AAUCGAACUCGGAGAUAGCUGGUUCUCCUCGAAAUAGCUUUAGGGCUAGCCUUGAGGUAAAAGAAUUAUGGGGGUAGAGCACUGAAUGAGGUAGGGGCCAAACCAGGUUACUGAACUCUAUCAAACUGCGAAUACCAUAAUUAGAAUACUCAGGAGUCAGACUGCGGGAGCUAAGUUCCGUGGUCAAAAGGGAAAGAGCCCAGACCGACAAUUAAGGUCCCAAAGAUAUAGUUAAGUGGAAAACGAUGUGAAUUUGCAUAAACAACCAGGAUGUUGGCUCAGAAGCAGCCACUCAUUCAAAGAGUGCGUAACAGCUCACUGGUCGAGUGAAUUUGCGCGGAAAAUUACCGGGGCUAAACUAUACACCGAAAUUUCGGAUUUACGUAUGAAAAUAUGUAAGUGGUAGAGGAGCAUUCUGUAGUAGGACGAAGUCAAAGCGAAAGCAUUGGUGGACGAGGCAGAAGAGAGAAUGCUGGAAUAAGUAGCGAGAGCAAGGUGAGAAUCCUUGCCGUCGAAAGUCUAAGGUUUCCUGGGGAAGGUUCGUCCGCCCAGGGUAAGUCGGGGCCUAAGGAGAGGCCGAAAGGCGUAUCUGAUGGAUAGCAGGUGGAGAUUCCUGCACUAUAGCUAGUUUUAAAAGAUGCAAGGGACGCAGUAGAGGAAGAUAACCAAGGAAGAGGAAAGACUUGGUCCGCAAGGGAUAGUGAAAAUUAAUAGUAACGAAAUAUCAAGAAUCACACUGACGAGAAAAGCUUGUAGAUAUUAACUAGAAAUACCCGUACCGCAAACCGACACAGGUAGAUGAGGAGAGGAUCCUAAGACGAGCGGGAGAAGCAUUGUUAAGGAACUCGGCAAAAUAACCCCGUAACUUCGGGAGAAGGGGAACCUAAGUAAAAUUAGGUCGCAGAGAAAAGGCCCAAGCAACUGUUUAACAAAAACACAGGUUUCUGCAAAAUCGAAAGAUGAAGUAUAGGAGCUGACGCCUGCCCAGUGCUGGAAGGUUAAGGGAAAGAGUUAGAUGUAAGUCGAAGCUUAGAACUAAAGCCCCAGUGAACGGCGGCCGUAACUAUAACGGUCCUAAGGUAGCGAAAUUCCUUGUCAGGUAAGUUCUGACCCGCACGAAAGGCGUAAUGAUUUGGGCACUGUCUCGACAAUGUACCCGGCGAAAUUGUAGUACUAGUGAAGAUGCUAGUUACCUGCGACAAGACAGAAAGACCCCAUGGAGCUUUACUGCAGUUUGAUACUGGGUUUCGAUAAGUUAUGUACAGGAUAGGUGGGAGACAAAGAAAGAAAGGCGUCAGCUUUUCCGGAGUCACCGUUGGGAUACCACCCUUAAUUUGUUGGAAUUCUAACUAGUGGUCAUGAUCUGGCCAGAGGACAAUGUCAGACGGGCAGUUUGACUGGGGCGGUCGCCUCCAAAAGAGUAACGGAGGCGCCCAAAGGUUCCCUCAGUGCGGACAGAAAUCGCACGAAAGAGUGUAAAGGCAGAAGGGAGCUUAACUGGAAGAUAGACAUAUCGAGCAGAUACGAAAGUAGGGCUUAGUGAUCCGGUGGAUAUUGAAUGGAAAAGCCAUCGCUCAACGGACAAAAGUUACCCUGGGGAUAACAGGCUUAUCUCCCCCAAGAGUUCACAUCGACGGGGAGGUUUGGCACCUCGAUGUCGGCUCAUCGCAUCCUGGAGCUGUAGCAGGUUCCAAGGGUUGGGCUGUUCGCCCAUUAAAGCGGUACGCGAGCUGGGUUCAGAACGUCGUGAGACAGUUCGGUCCUUAUCUGUCGCAGGCGGAAGAUAUUUGAGAGGAGCUGUCCUUAGUACGAGAGGACCAGGAUGGACAUACCGAUGGUGUAUCAGUUGUCACACCAGUGGCACGGCUGAGUAGCCAAGUAUGGACGGGAUAAACGCUGAAAGCAUCUAAGUGUGAAGCCCACCUCAAGAUAAGAUAUCUCAUAUCGU
rnacentral:rRNA from 1 species